CCGGACUCCUCCCUCUUUUCUUGGUAUGCUUUUUUGCACGUUGGUUUGGUUUUAGGGUUUGUGAGGAGGAAGAAGAUUAUAUCUAAUUUCGAAUUUGCAGCUCAGUUAAUUCGAUGCAUAUGUUUUUAGGGUUACUGUGCUUGAAUUUGAUUAACGUGAUGCCAAAUUUUGUGUGUACAUAAUAAUUCGCAUGUAUUAUUAUUUUUGUUUCAUUUAAUUAUUAAUAGCUCUAGGGAUUCAUAUCACAAUCAAUUAGGUAUCGCAAUUUGGUUUAAUUUGCCCGGCCACCGAGUAGAAUUUUAAACCAAAUUUUGUAGCUAAGCAAGAUUUUCAUUUCACAAUCAAUUAAGUACAUUCACAAUUCGUGGCGGAUUCAGUAUUUGAAUUUUUGAGAAAUAGAGUGUGGAACACGCAAUAAAAUAUAGUUUAUUCAUUGAUGAGUGAUAUCGAGAGAAUUUGUCAAGAAUUAUCGACGCAACUUGUCGAGAUAUGCAUACUAAUAUUACAUCAAACAUUUUGUGAGCACAUGUACAAAACAUUCAAAGUCUUCUUGGUGGACCUUCAAAUUCAUAUAUCCCCAUACGUCGGGUGAUCCUGGGAUCACCUUGGUCCCAAUGUACAUCAGGCCUUGUUCACAACUCUGUUUGAUUUGCCCGAUUACUUGUGCACCCGAUUACUUGUGCAGAACUAAUUCUCAACAAAUUUCCUACUUUAUGUAGGAUUUUCAUGUAGCUAUUUAAAAUAUUUAGGUUAUCCUAACAAAUUAGCCACCCAGAUACAGAAGAACGUAUUUGGCAUGAAACUUUAGUAGUAAGUAUUUGAUGAUUUAAUAAGAUGGAGAAUACAGAGUAAUAUGGUGCCCGGCCUGAAUCCAAACGGCUUAAUUACUUAGCUUACACACACACACGUAUUUGUGUGUGUAUACAUAUAUACAUAUAUAUAUAUAUAUAUUAAUGUAUCUCUAAGAAACAGAACUGUAAAAAUCAAGUUGUUGGAUGGCAGAAACGAACUGCUCAAAAUUUAUAUGACUGAGAGUUGAGACGUCUAAGAACUGAGCAAAACAUAUCUUGUUGGAUUAGUUUGUUAAUUGAAAUCAAAUCAAGCUGUUUUUAGGAUACAUCGAGUGCACCGACCCUAACCCAUGACACGACGGUAAAUAGGUUGAACGUGAAGGGUAUCACGGUCAAAUGGUAGGAAAAGUAUAGUGUAUAUGUAGCACCUAAACUAAAAUAGCCCCCGCCAAAAUCGGAAAAUUCUCAAACUUAUUUCAUGCAAUCUCUCUCUCUCUCUCUCUCUCUCUCUUCGUCCCAAUAAAAUCUCUCUCUCUCUCUGACAAAAUCAUGAGCCGCCGAGUAGCCGGAGCAGGAUCAGAAUCCCGGCGGGGGAAGAAACCAGCCAUACCGAUGAAACUCCGAGAUAUGAAGAAAACGGCUGUUAAAGACUCUCCGACUAACUAAAAAAAGAAAAUUUUGUUCAAGAGGGUAUGGCUGAGCUCCAACUUAACGAGAAGAAUACUACUACUCCAAAACCAGAAGAGAGGAAAACGCGCAGCGCAGUCGUAUUUACUAGACCUUUCAAAUUCACAAUCCCUUGUAAAGUUUGCGGUGUGGUUGGCCACUUGAAUGAUGAUUGCCCCUACAUGAAACGUGUUCCAAACAAUGUAACUGAGGUUGGCAAGGGCUAUGAAAUAGUUACCUUCCGUGGUGAGAAGCAUGCUGUUAGGAUGUUAUGUGGUUAUUGUCAUAUCAGCGCUGACCACCAGAGCGAUGACUGCCCGCAUAAGAGCAAAAUCAUUGCAUGGAAGAACUCCCUUCGGAAGCCCCCUCCUGUAGGUCCUCUCACCUCCUGAUCUUGCUGAUGCUCAGGAUUGCGGCGGCACUGCCGAUUUGGAUGGUUAUAUCUACUCUUGUCUUGGAAUGCUGCUGUCCUGUUCGUUUUCUUUGGAUUUUAGCACUCUGUGGUCAGUCUGUCUGUACGUAUGUCAUGUAUGUCUUUGAAGAAGCACGUUCCGUCCCGUCAUUCUAACGUUAGUUGUAUUCUCUAUAUACUUGGAUUUAUUCUACUCAUUCUAAUGGUUAGUUGUAUUCUCCAUAUACUUAGAUUUA